rnacentral:rRNA from 1 species
CACGUAGGGCGCGAGCGUUGUCCGGAAUUAUUGGGCGUAAAGAGCUCGUAGGCGGUUCGUCGCGUCGGCCGUGAAAACCUGAGGCUCAACCUCAGGCCUGCAGUCGAUACGGGCGGACUUGAGUACUGCAGGGGAGACUGGAAUUCCUGGUGUAGCGGUGAAAUGCGCAGAUAUCAGGAGGAACACCGGUGGCGAAGGCGGGUCUCUGGGCCGGUACCGACGCUGAGGAGCGAAAGCGUGGGGAGCGAACAGG